rnacentral:lncRNA from 1 species
AUUCAGUCAACUCCUCUUUGAGUGAGAGCAUUUUUUAAAUCAAAAGCAUGCAAGUUUUAAGAUGAGAGAGCGGGAAAGAGAUUGAGAGUCUAUAAGAAUGACUUUGCAAAAGUGAUAUAAUCCUUAUCAGAAGGUAAUCAAAACCAGGAGAGUAGUCUUGUAAUAGUAGACUGCAAGUAUUGGGAAGGCCAAGUUAAAGAACAGAGGCAAGAACUAUGAAAGUGAUCAUAGUCAACUUUUAUCUCCAAUACUGUCUCAGAGUUGACUGUUGUACACAAGUGAAAUUAGAUUAGGUACAGAUUAAAUUCUACUUAAAAUUUGUUCUUUAUUGAUUCCUUUAGGUUUCUUUAAACCAAGCUCAUGCUAUUUAGUCAGAACAUGACUUCUAGAAUGGUCUUCCAGAGUCAGAAUUCUCUGUUUACAAAGAUAAUUUCAAAUGUAGUAUCCCUCUUUACAUUCAGUGUUUCACCAAAUAACUCA